AUACGGAGGGGGCAAGCGUUAUUCGGAAUUACUGGGCGUAAAGGGCGCGCAGGCGGUUUGGUCAGUGAGAAGUGAAAGCCCUCGGCUUAACUGAGGAACAGCUUCUCAUACUGCCAGACUAGAGAGUGGGAGAGGGAGACGGAAUUCCCGGUGUAGCGGUGAAAUGCAUAGAUACCAUAAAGAACACCAAUAGCGAAGGCAGCUUACUAGACUGUAACUGACGCUGAGGCACGAAAGCGUGGGUAGCGAACAGGAUUAGAAACCCCAGUAGUCC
rnacentral:rRNA from 1 species